rnacentral:lncRNA from 1 species
AAUUGCAUUAACUUAAAUUAAACUCAAAUUGUUUAUAAUUUCAGCUAUUCCUGGUGUUCCUGGUAAGAAUACAUUUUAUUUUAAUACAAUAGAAUAUUUUUAUACACCCAUAUUGACGUACCUACGGUCACGGGCAGAUAGGGCACAGUUAUGUUUACGAAAACCGUCGGUGGUAGUUGUGGGAACAUUUUUUAAGGGUGGAAAUUUGUAAAUAUCGUUCGACCGGUUACGAUUACAUAUUUAUGUGACGUCAUAUGUUAAUAUUGGAGCAACUUUGUGACUAAGUGACGGUAAUGAUGGAUAUGAAUGAGGUUUGAUCGUGGUCUACGGGAUCAUCGUACAUUGAUACGACACAGUACAACCCGUAUUCUGAAAAGUCACAAUAUAUUUUCUAUAAAUGAGAAGGAAUCUUCUGUUUUAUUUUAAUGGUGUAACUAAUGCAUAUUAAUGAACUUUUUAACAAUAGGAAGACUAGUGAACUUUUUCGUGUUUAUAAUAAAAAGAUCACUGGACUGUCAAUAACUAUUGAAUUUAGAAUUAUACUCGUAUACAGUGAUUUUCAGUUUGGUCCAACAGUUUUUCAGAAUAUUGGAUUCUGUAACCAUAUGUUAGUGUUGGCAUUAUGUAUAUUUUAACACGUAUAGUUUCAUUUUUUUAAAGAAAGACUGCGGAUUGUUGAGAAGAGGCUAUGAUUGGUAUCAUUUGUUAUGUUCAUUUUAAUAUAUUAAAUUAUAUUGGUAAUAGGUAUAAAUUGAGAAGUGUCUAUCCAAUGUUGUUUUGAUUUAUUAUGAUCUUCUAAUUUUUUAAUCAUAAUUUAAAGAAAAUAAUACUGUCGUCCUUUCAUAAUAAUGUAAAACGUAAUACCUUAAGUAUGAAGAAUACUGAAAAAACUAUUCAGUUUUUCACUCUAUUAAAGAUGUUGGAGACAGUGUGGUUUUAGUAUAAAAACAUUUCUUACAGGAAACACUCUCACGCUCGGUAGUAUUGUCGGAUUUGGUUAAAAUUUUUUUUAUUUAAAAGAAAAUAAUAUUUCGCUGGUCGGAUCAAAUCUCGAUUUUCAAAAUUAUAAUUUAAGAAGAUAAAAUAUGCAUUUUAAUAAUACAUAAUAUUUGUUAUUUGUUUAACACUAUUUAAAGUAAAAUGAAGAUUUGGACUUUGAUCUGAUCUGCAAUAAGUUCUCAUAUUUUAGAAAAAAAAAUUGUCAAAAUCCGAUGUAUAAACGAGGCGUGAGAGUUUGGCCUGUAAAAUAAUGUUUGUUCGUUUAAAUCAGUGGUUUUCAAACUAGGUGCCGCGGCACACUGGUUAGGUUAAGUUAACCUAACCGUGCCGUGGUCUUUUGAAAUUUGUUUUCCCUAAAUUGUGACGAAAUGCCGGUUUCGGUGAUCCGCUUGUUAAAUAUGAAAUCGUAACUCUUUUGAUUAUAACUCGUUUCAGUAUGACUCAUCAAUUUUGUUAUUAGUUCUAAUUGUAUCCAAAAAAAAUUAAACAAUGCCAAAAAAAAAAUUCACAGUGUGCCGUGAAAAUAUGAAAAUCAACGUGUGCUGUGGUUAAAAUAAGUUUGAAAACCAUAAGUCUAAAUAUUGCUUCGAUAAUGAUUGAAGUCGAUUCAUUACCUUGUGCGUGCGUGUGCGUAAUUAUCCUUAUCUGCAUGUGUGUUUGUGUCACCACUCACCAACCACAAUCAAUAUUGCAUUUGCGUAUUCCAAUUUACAAUAAAGUUAAAAAUUACUUAUUUUUGAUGAUGCGGCGUUAUAGGUAGUACCUAUAUUUUUAUAAAUUACAGAUAUUAUAAUAACUAUCCAUAAUCAUGUAAUUAUAAUAAGGUAUGAAAAUAAUAUGAGAAGAAAAAUAAAAUAUAUACUAGUGCCUAUAUAAUAAUAAUACAUGACUAAUUACAAUAAUAAUAAUGAAUUAUUAAUAGUUCAAAUAAUUUCCAUUUAUUUUAAAAUUUUAGGAUCUACAAUUUCUUGUAAUAAAUGACAAAUAUUAUAUAAUUUGACCAAAUUGUAUGUUUCCAUUUUAUCCUUCCAGAAGUCGUCGUCACGCAUUAUUAUUUCUACAAACAUAUCUAAAAACAAAAACUGUAUAUAUUUAAAUAGGAACUUUGAAUUAAAAAAAAAUAAUGUAUGUAGUUUGUAUUGUACUAUAUGUACCCACAAAUAACAAAAACCUUAGUUUUUAAUGUGUUCGUCAAAUUAUAAGAACAUUUGGUUAUAAUAUAUUAUUGUUUAUUACCUUUUGGAGUCCAAACUAUAAAAUAACACGAGCAUUUUAUUAGCUACUUUUAAUUUAUUCUGAAUCUGAUAGUAAUAGUUAUAUACUACGAGAUAGUAAUAACUGCAGAUCACCAUUGCUAUUGAUGUUUAAAAAUGUAAUUUGUUUAGUCAUAACUCCCUAGAGAGAUGUCAUAUCUUUACUGUUAUGGGGACAUUUUAUUUCAAUCAUUUCAUUUUCUCCCACCAAUCCAUCUGAGAGAACUAGCUAAAAAAUUAAAUUGCUCGUCAACAAUUAAUAAACUAAUUUGUAAAACUUUAGCAUUGAAUAAAGAUUCAAAUGUUUCAAUGUUUUCAUUAUAUUUCAUAUCUGUUGACAAGCAGACAGACAGAUAUAUGUGCUAAAAUCCAUUUUUAUAUACAUAUAUAUAUAUAUAAUAUAGUAUAUUAUAUUAUAUAUAUAUAUAUAUAUAAUUAUAUAGAUGUAUAUUAAUAUUACAUGUGGAUAAACUAUGUAAUAUUCUUACGUUAUUGGAGUCCUCGAUGUAAAAUCUUUGGCGUACAAUAUAUAAUAUUUGACAGUAUCAGUCCGAGGAUUAAUUUUUUUGAGUUUACAUACUCUACCAAAAUUUGCAGCAGUCAACCGAUGUUAUAUUUUAGUAUGCCAAGUAUCACAUAGAAAUGACAUGCUUAACAUGGUUGUGGUAGUGGCCGAUGCUACCUGGGGGGGAUGCGCACCGCCGAACGAAAACUGGUCACGAAAGCGGUAUGUUCUCUUUUAAAACAGGGUAUCGUUAUUGGACAGAUCAUAAAUUAAGCUAUCUGAAUAAAAAGAUACAAACAUUUUUGGCCACACAAAUAUCUCGCCACAAACCACAGUUCUCUAUUUCAGACGCAAAAUUUAUACUAUCAGAGUCAGCUUUAUAAAAAUAUCUAAAAUUAUAAUAAUUAUUUUUGAUAAAAUAAAAAGAUCCUUUAAGGUUAUCUCUGCUUGCACACAAACUAAAUAAUACUUGUUUCUGAUUCUUAAAAAAAGAAAUUUUAGGUUCUGAGUAGAGCAAGAAAUGUAUUGGUUUUACAAAAAUAUAUAUUUUUUUUUACCUGUGAACAACUCUCCUACUAAUGUAUUAGUAAAAUAUUACGGUCUUUUUUAAUUGUGGACAAUUUUUUUACCAUCAAUUUCACUUUGAUUUACAAUGAUAGCACUUUUUCUAAAAGGAAAUCUGACUAGGGAGGUCUUUUUAAGAGGUCGUUUUUUGAAUUUUCUUAGAAGUUUUCCUAACAAAUGGAAAAAAUCUGAAAAACGGGAAAAUAUACGUAGGUAUUAUUUAAAAAAAGAUGUCCUAGGAUAAUGGUGGCAGUUGUAGACACUAUUAUAGGUGAGAAGUUGGGAGUGUAGUAGAUGAAAACUUUAAUGUAUAUCAGUAAACAACUAUUAACCAUUCCUAACGAAAAAACGAUUCUGAGAGGAAUUCAGUUGAUAGUGUUGCCUUGUCAACACUAUGAAUAUAUCAUAUUAUGGUAAAAUAAUUACAAGUGCAUUAAAUAUUUCCUUUAAUAAUAUUUGUUUAAUAUUGUACCUAUUUUCCCGUUUUUCAUACGUUUUUCCCAGUUUUUCUAUUUAUUGGGAACUCCUGGGAAAAUAAAAAAAAAGCCAUCCUGUACCUUUUCAGACUGAUUUCCUUUCAGAAAAAAUCCUAUCGUUGGAGAAAAAUUGCUGGUAAAUAAUUGUCCAAAAAAAAAUUUCAAACACUUCAAGUAUCUACAAAUAGUUUUCAUUGAGUUACAAGAAAAAAAUCAAAAUUAAAAAUAAUAAAAGCGUUAUUUUCGUAAAUUUUCAAUUUUUUUCGGUUUUGCUCUAUUUUCAAAAAAAUACUUGGUAAAUCAAAAAAUGACAUUCUGAAUCAUGAACUAAAUUAAAGAUCCUACAAAAAGCGAAUUUUAUUGUUUGUCUAUUGGAGUAAUAUUGCUGGUAGAAAAAAUAAGCCGUACCAAUUUAAAAUAAAAGAAUUCUUACGCCGUAAAUUUACUAGUUAUCAUUUUUUGUUUUUAUCCGGAUUUUCUCCAAAAUUAAGAAAACUACUUGGAAAAUCAAAGUAACUUUUGUCAGAUACAAACUAUAAUAGCCAUCUGUUGCAUAUUAUUAUCUAGAGUUUAAUCAUCUAUAAUAUACUUAUUUUGUAAAAAUUAAAUUGCAAAAACUAGAUAUAUUCUAUCAUAGUUUUCAACUAGUAGCUAAUAAAAAAAAAUAAAAAAAAAAUAGAUAAUUUCUUGAAAAGCAAUAGUAAUUAUGAAUGUAAUAGUGUAAUAGUUUUUAGAUUUGGAGCAUUGCGAGGGAUCUAUUGGUUUUACUAUAUGUGUGUGUGUAUGGUUUUCUAUCUGUAAACAACUUUUUGGAAAGGAAUCUUGCUUCAAUGUAUAAAGUUUAGCAUUUUUUCUGAUCCGACAUAUCAAUUUUUUUUUUUAUUUGAAAGAAGAGAACUUUUCGCAUGUCGGAUAGAAGCCUAAUUUUUUAUUUAACUUUAAAUAGAACUAGAAAAAUACAUUUAAAAAAUACCAAAUAUUGGUAUUAUUCAAAUGUAUAUUUUGGUUUCAUUAAUUAAAAUUAUAAAAAUCGGGUUCAUAAUCCAAUAUAUGAAAUGUCCUAUUUUUAAAUAAUAAAAAAAAUUAACGAAAUCCAACUAUUCCAUAGAUCAUAGGAGGUAAAAGUUUUUCCUGUAAGACAUGUUUUUGUAUUAAAAACGCACCGUCUCCAAGACCCUUAAGUGUAAUUACUCCAGUUUAUAGUUAACGCUAUUACUGAUGCACAAGUCAAUAUUAGGUACUUUUACCUUUCGUCAUAUCAUCUUCAAGUAUAUUGCAUGCACUUGUCUAAAAGCUAUGUCAUCCCAAGCAAUUAUGGAUUUAUUUCCGUAAUUUUGCGAGUCUCCGUCUCGUUCAUUUUGCCAUGCAAUUUUAUUAAUAUGUGUUUUUCAUAGAAAAACUCAUAGAUUUUUACAGAUUUCCCCCCUGAUUUCAAUUUAUUUGAAACAUCAUUUAAAAUUUUCCUGUGUGGUACUUAUUGCAAAUUCGAACUAAAUGUUUAGACAAAUUUUAUAAAAUCAUGGUUUUUAACCCGUAUGGUUUCUUUAUUGAUAAUUUAAACUAAGUAUAUGCGUUUAAUUGUUCAAUAAACAUAAUAAGUUUGGUGGAGGUCUAUACAUUAUUUUAUAAUUAAUGGUUAAAUAAUUCAUGGUUUCUAUAAAUAUUACUUGGUUGAAAAUAUAGUGCAAAAUAAAUAAGUGCUUAGUGUGAUAUUGAAAUGAAUGUUUUAUUAAGUAAAUAAACACAAUUUAUAUAAGUAUUAUUAAAAUAAAUAUUUAAUUAAUACUACAAAUUUAAAAUGUACUAUAGUAAUACAUAUAAAACUAUUUUUAAUUCAAUUCAUAUUUGAUUAAUAAAGGAUUUGAAGAUGAAAGUAAGACAACAAUUUUUGAUAAAAUAAUAUAUAAUAUAUUAUGUUAUAACAAAAUAGCAUACCUACCGUCCUAUUUGAUAUACAUCAAAGAAAACAAAUUAGUAUUAACAGUGGCGUGUGUAAGGGAGGGAGGUUAGGAAGUUUAAUUCCCCUCCGUUUACUUAAAAAUAUAAACAAAUAUUUAAGUAAUCUAAUAUUGAAAUGCUUAUAUUUCGGUCAAGUUACGAAGAAAAGCUUAGUAUUGAUUAGAAAUUUGAUUUUUUUUAGGAUCCGGUUUUUAAAUUACCAAUUACCAUAGUCGAGUCGGAUAAAGAGCAAGAUUUUACGAUUCAUUCACGAUUCUUAUUCACUACAUCCCCUCCCAUCGAUAAUUCCUAGGCACGCCACUGAGUAUUAAUACAAAGUAGUUAGAAAUAAUUAGUUUGCUGGUUAACUACAUUAUAAUAUACCUACAUAAUUACUAGGUUAAUAUUGAUAAUAUAAAAUGUUAUAAUAAUAUAGCCAUUUUUAUUUUCUUAAACUAAAUGAUACGGCAUCGGAGUGUAUAAUAAUAAAAAUACUAAAUUGCAUGUACACUAUAGUUUAUUGAAUCAAAUGCGUCCUAUAGUUUUUUGCGUUAAUGUGGCCAUAAUAUAAUAAUUUAGAUAUAAUCACUUAAUAAAUGAUACGCAUAUACACCUUUUCCGCCACCCAUCACCUCAUAGACCAAUAUGGUGCUGGUCUUUCACCGUUUCUUAUUGGUUUACGUAUUCCAUAUAUUGUGAAUUAAAUCGUGAUACCAAAUAAUACUUUACCUAAUAUCAUAAUUCAAAAAAACCGCCAAAAAUUAUAAUCCGAUCAGAGAUAGCGAAAGACCAGCAUCAUAUUUGCGCAGUUUAAGACAGAAUUAGGCCUAUUGAAAUCAUACCUACAAAAAAAAAAAGCACGCGUCACUUAAACAUGCGGGUUAUCACAGCACGCCGUGCGGCAAUUUCUCGUCGAUGGUUGUUGAACUGUUUCCGGCUAAAUUUUAAAAUUAUCGUGGUAACUCGUAAAUUUACAUUGAACAAUGUACUCGUAUUCAUGUACUUAUUUGGUGAAAUACACGAUUGAAAACAAUACAAUAGGUAAGCGAUAUUGCAGGAGAUGGUCCGAUAAGCGUACGGAACAAAUGUCAAGAACCACAGGUUUAUGGAGAAAUCGUUACAUACGCGCUGUGGUCUCCACCAUGUUUUCGUAACGCGUAUUGUAUAGUUUAUUAUAUCAUGAUCAUAAAUGCAUAACAAUAUUAUUGGCAACCAUUGAAUUGGCUCCCGAUAUUAGGUAAGUACCUCAUCGACCAUUAAAUUGGCUCUUAAGAAACUUAAUAUUGAAUUGGCUCCCAAUAAUAUUUUCAACAAGUGAUUUCAAAAUAUAAAUAUAAACUAGUAGGUAUGCGAAAUUAAUAUUUUUAGCAACACAGUUGCGAAGUACUGCUGGUAAUUAUCUAAAGGUUGUUUCACACUAUACAGAACGUCAGUGUUACGUCACGGCCCGGCGAAAUAAUCUUAUAUGUGUUUUAUAUGACAAUGUUUACAUACACCGUUUACGUCAUGGAUCGUCAACAUCACGGAACGGCAACAUUUAUCGAAAACUAUAUUUUGACGGGACGGAGCAAGUCCGUUAUUAUCUGUUCGGAUAGUAUGAAUGUGUUAGCGGAACGUUUCAGUCAAUAUCAUAUAAAUACUAAAUUUAAUAUAUAUUUAUUUAAAUCAUCGUAUUUUCAUUAUUUUACUAUAGAUGAUGACAUAAUAGUAGAGAAAGCUUUUAUUUUUUUAAGUUUUAACGUCAUUAUGAUAAACUCUACAAUAUGGUUCAGACGUUUAUGCACUUAAAAUAACUGUAAUAUGUAUGGAU